rnacentral:rRNA from 1 species
GACGAACGCUGGCGGCGUGCCUAAUACAUGCAAGUAGAACGCUGAAGGAGGAGCUUGCUUCUCCGGAUGAGUUGCGAACGGGUGAGUAACGCGUAGGUAACCUGCCUGGUAGCGGGGGAUAACUAUUGGAAACGAUAGCUAAUACCGCAUAACAGUAGAUAUCGCAUGAUAUCUGCUUGAAAGGUGCAAUUGCAUCACUGCCAGAUGGACCUGCGUUGUAUUAGCUAGUUGGUGAGGUAACGGCUCACCAAGGCGACGAUACAUAGCCGACCUGAGAGGGUGAUCGGCCACACUGGGACUGAGACACGGCCCAGACUCCUACGGGAGGCAGCAGUAGGGAAUCUUCGGCAAUGGACGGAAGUCUGACCGAGCAACGCCGCGUGAGUGAAGAAGGUUUUCGGAUCGUAAAGCUCUGUUGUAAGAGAAGAACGGGUGUGAGAGUGGAAAGUUCACACUGUGACGGUAUCUUACCAGAAAGGGACGGCUAACUACGUG